AGUUAAAAGGCCCAGAAGCCUCUGCAGUUUUCGUCGGGCUGGCUGAGGGAUUCCCGCCCCACCUCGCCCCUCACAGAGGAAAGGACGGCGCAGAUAAACCCUCGACACGUAUUUGUAGUGUGGACGCGCCCCACCCUACUCCUGCUGGGUGAAGCCAUUCCUCUAGAGACACUGUGACGAAUUCAACCACAGAAUUUUUAACAUCAAAACUGAAUAGGAUUUGAUACAUGAGUGUUGUAGUCAGACAAAAUCUCCAAUCCAGACCCUCCAUCAUGCUGUGUGACUUUGGGCAGGUUACAUAACUGCUGUGAGCCUCAGUUGCUCUACUCUUAAAAAAAAAAAAAAGUAUUGAGAUUGAAUGAAUGGAUAAAAGCUACCAUAUACUGUAAUAUCCUAAUGUAUAUAAAACAUGUGGCACAUAGGAAGUGCUCAGUAAAUGUCUAUUCUCCUUGCC
rnacentral:lncRNA from 1 species